AGUAUACCAAGAAGCGCAGUGCUAGUUCAGCAACACAGAAAUAUACCUCAGAAGAAUCAACUUUCACCGCUGACCAGUGCGGUCGAGAAAAUUUCCGGCGAAUCCAAUGCAGCAACAACGUCCACUUGCAGUACCGCAAUACAAAGCCACAAAGCGAUCCAACAGCGUGGGAAAUUUUAUCAUCGCAAAAUUUUAUAUCAGCACAACAGCUAUACCAAAAGCGAUACCACGUCGAUGGCCGAAAUGAUUUUUGGUUCUGCACCUAUAGUCUUCCAGGACAGCAGUUUGAAGGUACAUUGAUUAAAAACUCGAAAAACCAUUAAGUAUGCUUACGUGUUUCAGUAGCCAACAGUAGCAGCAACAGCAGUAAAAAAGUAUCCACUUCCACCUACUUGGGCUAUGAACUGCCAAGUAUCGGUCAGAAUGCACUAUACAACGGCCGACAUACGUCGGAAAGUGAUCGUAGCUCCAUAGGUACAACGUCACUACGGUCGUUUACUGUUACUUCGUCCACUUUGACGUAAUAUGAUACUUCGUACAACCACAGACAAAGGCCACCACUGCCAAUCGAGUUUGCGCAUUUGGAGCAUCUGGCAGAUCCGAGACUUUCAACCAAAAGUGGCCUUGACUCAGGGUAUGGUGGAACGGAACCUUGGGCGUUUUCAUCAUGUCAACCACGCCAUCGCACCGAAGCAGUCUAGCAUCAAUUUCUAGUGAUUUCGAAGACUUAGUUUAGAUACCAGUAUUGAUAUUCCACAGCCUCUGAAUUGCACAAGUUUAGACAACUAUAGUCAGUAUGGCAGCUUUCAUCGAGGUCAAUACGAACAUUAGCAGUCAAGUGACAGCGAGCGAUGGUUGCGCCGGUGGUAAAAAUCGACGGAAUAGUGAAACCAUAGUACUGACUAGACAAAAAGCGUUUAGUGGGGAAGUUCUUUCCACUGCAACCAAUUAUCACGGGAGACCUUUGCACAAAAAGGCACGUCUAGGAAUUGUGCUGUGCGUUCAACUAAACGAUGACAUGCUGCAGGAAAUUGAAGCAUUCAGCUCGGAACACAUGAGUAUAUUUGAAUCAAUGCUGUGUCGUUUAAGAAUGGCGGCGGAAAACGCAAGCUACAGGUAGCCGCAGUUACUCCAGAUAAUGCUGGCUGCCGGCAUAACGCAGCAGUGCCCAGUGGAUUUUUUUACUGUACCCAAACUGGUAAAUUCCAUGUGGCUAACGCUAAGCAGUGGUGCGUGCACUCUUGGAACUCAAAGCAGUCCAUGUUCUAAUCGGGCUGCGCUUAAAAUUGAUAGUAAUUUUAUGAACGAUCUUUGUUACCUGCUAUUGCUGGCCGACAUUAAGGAUACACAUUUUUUCAUCAGCGCACUACUAACGGCGAUAUUAAAGUACUACCUGGGCUGGGUGAGUACCAUUGCCCCUGUGAGUGGUUCUGCUUACGAAGCAGAUACAGAUUGUGCUACAAUACAGCGAUAGAAGGAGAAGCGGUGCAAACUAACUACCAAUCACCCGUACAUCGUACUGUGGGUCCAAUGUAGCUAUUUGUAUGGAACCGUCGGACACCCGGUGAAACUGUCGAGAAAAAUCUGCAGAAGCCCCCAAUUGAGCAAUACCAUGGAUAAAAUUCUAAAUGAGCUAUCUUACUUCGUAAGAUGUAGCGAGAUCAAGCGGGUUGUCCUCGUAAAGGCUUUCGACGAGUAUAAAGCUGAGCAGGCAUUCGCUGCGCAAAAGAUUAUAAAUAAUUAUUCGCUCCUUAUGUUAAUUGUUAACUUUAACCAAAAAUGCUUUUCCUUGACCUGAUGUACAGUGUAAACUAACAGAUUUUCGUACGUAAUAAAACUGCAAAAUUACGAAAAAUACAAAUUAUAGCAACAGUGUCAUAAGGUUUGGUGGAAAUAACUGUGGAGAAAAUAGAGGAUUACACAAAUCCCCCAGAUUCUUGCGAUCCGGAUCUGCGAUGGUUCGUUCGGCAACCACGACCAAAGACUAAACUUCGAUGGCUGGUAAUGAAUAAGUCUUGCUGAGAGCGAACUGGUCCACGCAAAAGAAUUGUGCAUGUUUGAUUCUAUAAAUUAUUUCUUCAUUUUUAAUCGAUAAAAAUUCUUUAUUGUGAACCAAGGAAUUUAUUAAACCAAACUUAUUUUUUUGGUUAGAUCAACCAAAAUAUCUUUUGAAUCAAUCUUACAAGUUUUGUUAUCUGUGCUUUUCGAAGAUCGACAAAAUUAUUGUUUGUUCCAAACAAAUCAGUGAUUCUAACAAAAGCAUGCAGCUAAUUGAUUCAAAAGGACUGAAUGCAUUACAUCAACAGUCCUUGUUGAAUUGAAACAAAUAAAAAAUAAAAGUUGCUACGAAGAAGAAAAUUUUUUCCACGUGCGUCAAUGCUGGAGAAAUUCGCUAUUUUUAAAUUAGGGAAUUCAGAUUUCGGUAAAUUCUCAUAGUGCUCAGAUUUUCCGGACUCAAAGGGCGCAAGUGCAGCUUGAAAAUAAUCAUGAUGUCGCACAAAGGUUAGUGAAUAAAUUAAGUCGAAUGCACAUGGUGUGUUUUAUGGUGCCUUCCUCUAUUCCAGGACUCAAACAAAACACCCUGUGUGGCUUAAAAACGACAAUCGCAGAACUGAAAACACAUCACCGCACCAGAGAUAAAUAAUACCCUUUUGAGAGAGCAGUUUCCUGUACUUCACCAUCUCUGGUCCAACAGGAAGACAGCGUAUUCGUGCGCCUUCUGCAAUCUUUUUGGAAAAGCCGAGACACUCUGAAGCACUACAUUAUAGCGCAUAUCUGGAAUAAACCACGCGCACGGCCAAAGGUACUACAUAAAGGGACGGUGAUUGGAAUCGUAUGCGCUGCAUGUAAUAAAAUUUCAUUUCGUUCCAAGCAAACCUACUCCGGAACAGGUUUGGAAUCCCUUAUGGAUUCUCGCUCAAAUGCAACAAACGAUUGAGUCGGAAUCGGUUGUUGCCUUUAAGCUCAUAAUGAAUCCAUUCAGAAUUCCUAACCGAUCCCGGAAUGGGUUUGACUGGGCCAUACUGCAUCCAUUCAGGAUUCCGAAGCGGUUCCAGAAUGAUUUGACUGCGUAAAAUUAAUGCGUUUGUAGCCUGUUUUUAGAGAAAGGCCAAUAAGUCAAUGGCAAGUAUUAACUUUGUGAGGUUCAUUUGUACUGAUGUUAUCUGUUGUCAGCGAGUAAUGGUUUGUUCUAAAUUUGUCACCAUGACAGUUGGCCUUUGGUUCCUAUUAAAGAAUAGGCAUAUUUUAUAUACAAUA